rnacentral:rRNA from 1 species
UGGCGGCAUGCCUUACACAUGCAAGUCGAACGGCAGCACGGGAGCAAUCCUGGUGGCGAGUGGCGAACGGGUGAGUAAUAUAUCGGAACGUGCCCAGUCGUGGGGGAUAACGUAGCGAAAGCUACGCUAAUACCGCAUACGAUCUAUGGAUGAAAGCGGGGGAUCGCAAGACCUCGCGCGAUUGGAGCGGCCGAUAUCAGAUUAGGUAGUUGGUGAGGUAAAGGCUCACCAAGCCGACGAUCUGUAGCUGGUCUGAGAGGACGACCAGCCACACUGGGACUGAGACACGGCCCAGACUCCUACGGGAGGCAGCAGUGGGGGAAUUUUGGACAAUGGGCGCAAGCCUGAUCCAGCAAUGCCGCGUGCAGGAUGAAGGCCUUCGGGUUGUAAACUGCUUUUGUACGGAACGAAACGGUGAGCUCUAAUACAGUUUGCUAAUGACGGUACCGUAAGAAUAAGCACCGGCUAACUACGUG